rnacentral:tRNA from 1 species
GCGUCCUGUAGACGCAGAAAUCAGCCGGAAAGCCGCGCUGCUAUUGGAUCUCUUACGACCCUCCGAAGGCAGGGGUUGCUGGUUCGAUCCCAGCCGGGCGCGCCA